rnacentral:lncRNA from 1 species
CCAAAAAUAACCUGAAAUAAACUUCAAAAUUACCCCAAGAACGACUUCUAAUUAACCAGUGAAGCUUAAUUAAUGCAUGCUAAUAAGCUAUUCCUGUGAAUCCUGAAAAUAUGCUAGUACUUACUCCAAUAAUAUAUAUUCAACGAAAAAGAGUAUUAAUUUUACUGCACAAAGCUAGCAUGCAUUACAAAGUUUAUCGGCUACAAGCUAGCCUCUCGUACGGACAAAAUACUUGAGUUCUCCCAAUAACGUACUAAUUAAAAAGUGUAGCAUGCCUGAGUUUAAUAAAAUAAUUAAGCCAUACUAAAUGGUUUUUCCAAAGGAUAAUCAUUAGUUAGUGCGCCGCCACCACCACCAUAGAAUUUGGCAGCCUGGUAGGAGUUGACAACCACCGGAGGCACCUGAAAAACGUGGGAGCAUUGUGGUUGAUAUGGGUACUUACAUAAUAUUUGCUGUUGUGGAGGAGGCGAAGCACAAUUACAAUUAGUACUAUUCCUUAAUCCCUUUCUUCCAUAACUUUCUUCCACCAUAUAACCAAAACUUUCUGAUCCAAUCUUGUGUGCCAUAUAUAUUUAUAGAGGAGUACUUGUUCUAUAUAUUUGGAACUCUUGUUGAAACUAUGUAAUUUACACCUACUUACAAAGCUAAGUGAGUAGUAUCUU